AGCAGUAUUUCCCUGUUCAAAAGUUUUUAAACAUAAGAAAGCAAUUGCAGCACUGGUAAGAGUGGUGGUACUCAUUAGCAACCAUGAAAGGGAGAAGAAACUGGAUGAGAACCUUACAACAUCUAGUCAAUAGCACAAUCAGCAAAUAAAAACUUAUGCAUGAGGAUGGCAAAACAUAAGAACUAGAAGUUAAUUCUCAUGAACAAGUUUAGCUUCUAGAAAUUCAGGUAAUCUACACUCUACCAAGCAGCAACUCGGAUAUCUACAUUUACCUUAUCAUUAAGCAUCUGAUCAU
rnacentral:misc_RNA from 1 species